GGCAUAAUGUCACUAGCAAAUUCAAAUAUAGAAAUCUGAAAAUUUGCAGGUUUCUUGGACAAAUCUACAGAGAUAUAAUCCUAAAAUAGAGAAUGUUCAGGUGUGGGUGCAUGCCAUAAGUUCCGUGCAAAAUAACAAGUUCCUUUUAUUUGAAAUCUUUAUAAACUGGCUAGCGUUCAAAGUGGUUUCACUUUGCCAUAGCUUUGUGCCAAUUAUAAGCUCAAAGAGUUGCUCCUCGUCGACACAAGAAACAUUUCCUGAUAUUAUUUUACACAAAAAGUUGGCACAGGUAGAUUUAGAGGAAGAGUAUGUGAAAUCCUUUUGCUGCUGUUUAUUUUUCCCUUUUGUUGCUAAUGCAAACUAAGACACGAAUACAGUUCGACAGAGUCGAUCAGACAAACCGAAAUUAGCCCAUGAUCAUCAGCGCAGAAUGUGUCGGCUCCCUCCUCAUCGGAGACAAUAACAACGUGUCCAGUAGGAAAGCGCCGAUUACCUCUUCAGUAUAACUAAUUGAGCCCAAAGAAGCGGAUUCUGAACGAAGAAGACGGAGAAGGUAAAGAGGAUAGAGAAGAAUUAGAAAGAGAUGAAUAGGAGUGCUUCAAUCGCCAGAGAGCAGUUUAGGUGGCAACGAGAGCUGGUAGAAAUGGUGCAUUGAAGCAGCGCGAUAGACGACCAUUUGUCUUGCAACUGGGGGCCGGUGUUCGCUAUUUUUCU
rnacentral:lncRNA from 1 species